GGCUCAAUGGUCUAGUGGUAUGAUUCUCGCUUUGGGUCUUUUACGAUUUGCGAGAGGCCCCGGGUUCGAAUCCCGGUUGAGCCC
rnacentral:tRNA from 1 species